rnacentral:ncRNA from 1 species
UUUCGACAAAGGCAAACUUAUCGAAAGAUAAGGACGCAAAACUGAGGGUCUACAGUUCCAUACGGAGCUACGGCAGCCUGGUUACCGAA